ACGGUAGUUUGACUCAGUGGCUACAGAACGACGCUGGCGGCAUGCCUAACACAUGCAAGUCGAACGAGACCUUCGGGUCUAGUGGCGCACGGGUGCGUAACACGUGGGAAUUUGCCUCGGGGUAUGGAAUAACUCAGGGAAACUUGAGCUAAUACCAUAUAAUGUCUUCGGACCAAAGAUUUAUCGCCCUGAGAUAAGCCCGCGUAGGAUUAGCUAGUUGGUGAGGUAAAGGCUCACCAAGGCGACGAUCCUUAGCUGGUCUGAGAGGAUGAUCAGCCACACUGGGACUGAGACACGGCCCAGACUCCUACGGGAGGCAGCAGUGGGGAAUAUUGGACAAUGGGCGAAAGCCUGAUCCAGCAAUGCCGCGUGAGUGAUGAAGGCCUUCGGGUUGUAAAGCUCUUUUACUCGGGACGAUAAUGACGGUACCGAGAGAAUAAGCCCCGGCUAACUCCGUG
rnacentral:rRNA from 1 species